AAAGUAAGUGUUUGCCACUCUUGUCCCAUCAUCAUUUUGUACUACUUUUGUGUAUUUACUACCGUUGCAGGAAUGCCCAUAAUGCCAACUUCAGAGAAAUGUGUAUCAGGUGAUGAAACUGUAAACUGAUUCUGAUACACUUUACGUAAAGUGAUGACACUUACGUAGAUUGCAGUAUGGUUUUUUUUUUGCAUUUCAGACAGACAGCAUGUGUAUAUACUCAUUUUUUCAGAUAACACACAUCCAAUGGAUCCGUCACCACAAGAUGAAAGAACAGGGACGCUGCUGAUAACUGUAAUUGUUGUGAGUUGUUCUGGAGUAGCUGUGGCCUUCAUCGUCAUGGGAUUUUUACUUCUCUAUACUCGAAGAAGAGCUGAGUGAAGAAUACCAACAGAGGCACCUCAGAGAAAUUAUGGGUGUCAUUUCAAAAGAAUACAGUGUUGACAAUGGGAUUAAUUAUGAAGUUAAACAUUUUAUUAUUGUCAGCUUUUGUGUGUGUGUUUUAUAAUUUACAUUUCAUUUAAAGUUUGAUCCCCAAAUGGUUUCAUAUUGUUAAAGCAGAGAUGCAAAUUAACUAUAAAGAAGUAAAUAGUGUGUUCAAACAAGAUGAUAAAACCAAUAAAAAGUAAAUUAUUUAUAAAUAAUAAAAUAAUAACUAUUUUAGAGCUCACUGAUUUUGUUUUUGUCCUUAAAAAACAAAAUAAACGUAUUGUAAGAACUCCAGCAAUAGAGAGAAUAUAAAUUAUUGGUCAGAUUGUCUGUGUACUUCUCUCAUUAUGUUUUUUUCCUUUAUUUUCGUUUCGUUUGUGGCUUCUAUUGACUGGAUUGCACAGCCACAUCUUUAAUUUCAGUAAAUGUCAUCAGUGUAGCAUUUGCAGUUGUUUUAAGGUUUCUAAUAACAAAUAGUUUCUAGAUGGUAUUUUUGAUGUUCUUAUGGAGACUCACUCUUUCUCUCUGUAGGCAUAAGAAAUGAAACAGGAAGGGUAAUGUGACCUGCAUUGUUGCACUAACUUUGAUGCCCUAGCCUAAAAAUUACUCCCACAGACCCUAAAACACCUUUAAUGCAGUUCUUUUCAGCAUUUGAUGCUAAUCUGAAUAAACACAUAAACAGAAUUAGACUGCUUAACUGGUAACACAUAAAUUAAACUGAUAUUGAUGUCUGUCUUUUUAGUUUAUUUCACUGGUUCUGAAUUUGCAUCAGUUGGUCUGUACUAAAAAAAAAUAAAUCUAAAUAUACAACAUGCUGGGGGGUUUACAGAGGAAGACUGAAUGUGUUUUUGUGGUUAUUGUAUUUUGAUGCUGUUCUGGUUUCCUGAUGUGUAUAAAGUGUCGACAAAAUGUGUUUGUUAAAGUCAGGUAGAUGUAGUGUUUGGAGGUAUUCCUCUCAGUUGUAGUAAUCUGCUGUUUGCCAUCUUCCUCUCUAUGCUGAACUUUGUUUAAUUGUUCAUACUGCCACUUAACCUCAAUAAAAACAUGAUGCCUUAAUUACCCUUCUAGCAAUCGAUAUUAUUAUUAGUGGAUUUAUUUAAUUUGUUAACUAUUUGUUUCUCCAACAGAUUCUUUUUGUGAGAAGUUACAUUUGAUGAAUCUAAUAUGUGUUUUAAUGGUUUUAAUGGUUAUCUUUUUUGACAACUGACAUUGUUGGGCACCAGCAUCUGCCUCAGUAUUUCAGUGCUAUUUUGAUACUGGAGAGAAAUAAACUACUAAAGGCUGGCAUUAAAGUGUUCUGGUGUACAUGAUAUGAAAAUGUAAAAGAAAAAGAAAUAGCAAAUAAACAUGUAAACUGUUUUGUACAAGUGACAAAGAGUUGGCAAAGAGUUCAUCUAAAUAUAUUUGUCAUGUUCCCCCGUGCGCUGUUUGGAUGAGUGUGUUUUUUAUAUUCUAGAGUCCGAGUGUGCGAGAGGUCUCCGCCUGAUUGGCCACAUGUCAAAUUUUUCACCUGAGCCGUUGGAUUAGUUCCCAUCCGGGUUUAAAAGUUUGGAUCUUCUCAGGCACUGCCAGACUGUUGCACUGCAUGUUGUGAAGGAAGCCUGGAUCAAAACUAUUGCUUCUGUGUUGUUGCCUUGUUAUCAUUGUUUGCUUUACUUUUUCUUUGUCCAGAAACUCACCCCUGAGGAGAAACUGUGCGAGAGGAUUUUGUCUGGAAACACACGAGGGAGAGACAACCACUGAAUUAUUUAUAAUUAACCUUUUACGAGCAUAUUUCUGAGGAAAAGCCUGUUGCCAGCCUAUUGAAUAACUCCUUCUUUAUAACCUUACCACUGUGCUCUGUGCAUGUGUCCAGGUUUCCAUACAGCUUGACAAUAUUAUAGUUUUAUAGGUUGAGGGUUUCAAAGAGUGUGCUAGAACAGGUCUAUUUGAAGAGUGCCUUACUGUGGCCACCUACUGUUUACUUCAGAGUACUCAGAGUAGUUUUAGUUUGUAUAUUCACAUCAUUCAUUUUAAUAUGGCUGCUGCUAGUGGUCUUUAUGUGUCUCAUCUUUUUAUUACCCACUGGUCUCUGAGUUUUGAUUAAAGAAAAGUAUCCAGCAUUCAGGAAAACAGACAAAGAAAAAAUAAGUGUGCAUUGUUGUUUAUCUUUUGUCUUUUUCCUGUUUUACUUGGGAGGUUAGUUUUCUU
ensembl:lncRNA